AUCAGAAGGCACUCAUGGCUUGCUGAAUGGUUACGACAUUAAGUAAUUAGCAUUAGCAUAUUGUAUUAUUUAGUGAUUAGUAGUAUUUUAUGCAGCGUCCUGUGAACGUGCGAAGCAUGAGCACAAUGACUUGGGUGUCUGUUCUUGUUUCAUCUUCGAGAGUGGCCAGUUGGGCUGGGAGAAGGUUGCUGGAGAGGAGUUGAUGCAGGGGAUAAAUGCUCGUGAAGAGAAAAAUCUUGUUUUAGUAUCUUGUACCGAAAUACCUUACGGGAGGGGUCUACAUUUCCAAGUGCCUAUACUUUUGAUAGAAUAUUUCGAGGUGAUUGCUCUACAAAGCAGGUGUACGAGGAAAGAGCCAGAGAAAUUGUAUUUUCUGUAGUCAGUGGUAUCAACUCAUGAAGAAAGUGCAUUCAUUGUGAAAUUUUCAGCUAUUGAGAUAUACAAUGAAGCUGUUAGAGACCUCCUAAGCACAGAUACUAGUCCUCUCAGCGAGGAACUAUUGUGGAGAAAGUCACCGAGGAAACUUUGAGGGACUGGAACCAUUUAAGGGAGCUCAUUUCAAUUUGUGAAGCUCAACGACGGAUUGGAGAGACCUCACUGAAUGAGAAAAGUUCUAGAUCUCAUCCAAUUAUUAAACUGGUGUACUUCACGUCUCUUCUUAAUUAAUCCCACGAUCAACUGAUUUAAGGAUUCAAUUUUCAUCUCAGGGAUAAAUCAACCAACUUCCUUGUUGAUUCAUGCAGACAAUUGAAAGUUCUGCUUGAGAGUUUUUAGGAAAAAACAAUUCAACCACACUUGCUACUAGUGUGGUAAUGACCUCUAACCGUAUAUUGUGUGUACAUAACCACACAACUAAUAUAACUUUUAAGAGACUUCCAUACUCAACGACACUUCAAUGUGUCACUUUCCCGUCAUUUCUAGCAGAGUUUUAUUGAUUUAGCUGGGAGUGAAUAUGCAACUCAAGCAUUAUCAGCAGGGGCGAGAUUGAAAGAAGGAUAUAACAUAAAUCGCAAUUUACUGACUCUGGGUACUGUCAUUCGCAAAUUAAGUGUAGCAAAGGAAGAAAUGGUCAUAUCAAUUACAGAGAUUCUAAGCUGACACGAAUAUUGCAGCCUUGCUUAGGUGGCAAUGCUAGAACAACCAUCAUCUGUACAUUGAGCCCUGCAAGAAGUUACGUUGAACAUACUAGAAACACUCUCUUGUUCGCUUGUUGUGCAAAAGAGGUGACAACAAAAGCACAGUGACAAGUGGCAAUUCGGUGAAUAUUGUAGCCCUGCUUAGUCGGAACUUAAAUCAUAUGCUUCUCAAGUGAUUGAUGGUACACUUGACAUGAACGAGGAUUAGAUUUUCGUACGAGUAUUUGGACCGGAGAAACACGGGCGUGUUCGUGGUUAUGGAGUAGGUGUUACUCUUUCUGAGUUGUUUGGAUCAUCGUUUACUAUACGCGAUCUUGAGCGUCAUCUUAAUGAGUCUAAACGACGACUUCAAGAAUUUGAACAACAAAGAGAGGUUGAGGUAGAAGCACUUAGGCAUUAAAUAAGUGAAUUAGAAAAUCGUUUUGAGGAUAGAUUUCAAAAAAUGAUAGCAAAGAUGCGUAAAAAAUUUGUUUCUAGUUGAUCAAUUGUAGUUUGAUGUUAUAGAAUUUCGAUAGCCUUUUGGUAUACUUUUAUGAUAUAUAAGUUUACU